AUUGAACGCUGGCGGCAGGCUUAACACAUGCAAGUCGAGCGAGCGGCGGACGGGUAAGUCAUGUCUGGGAACCUGCCUGAUGGAGGGGGAUAAAUACUGGAAACGGUAGCUAAUACCGCAUACCCUCAGAUGUGCCCAGAUGGGAUUAGCUAGUAGGUGGGGUAAUGGCUCACCUAGGCGACGGUCCCUAGCUGGUCUGAGAGGAUGACCAGCCACACUGGAACUGAGACACGGUCCAGACUCCUACGGGAGGCAUCAGUGGGGAAUAUUGCACAAUGGGCGCAAGCCUGAUGCAGCCAGGCCGCGUGGGGGAAGAAGGCCUUCGGUUUGUAAAGCACUUUCAGCGAGGAGGCGGUACUCGCAGAAGAAGCACCGGCUAACUCCGUGCCAGCAGCCGCGGUAAUUC
rnacentral:rRNA from 1 species